rnacentral:rRNA from 1 species
GAUGAACGCUGGCGGCGUGCCUAAUACAUGCAAGUCGAGCGAACAGACGAGGAGCUUGCUCCUCUGACGUUAGCGGCGGACGGGUGAGUAACACGUGGAUAACCUACCUAUAAGACUGAGAUACCUUCGGGAAACCGGAGCUAAUACCGGAUAAUAUAUUGAACCGCAUGGUUCAAUAGUGAAAGACGGUUUUGCUGUCACUUAUAGAUGGAUCCGCGCCGCAUUAGCUAGUUGGUAAGGUAACGGCUUACCAAGGCAACGAUGCGUAGCCGACCUGAGAGGGUGAUCGGCCACACUGGAACUGAGACACGGUCCAGACUCCUACGGGAGGCAGCAGUAGGGAAUCUUCCGCAAUGGGCGAAAGCCUGACGGAGCAACGCCGCGUGAGUGAUGAAGGUCUUCGGAUCGUAAAACUCUGUUAUUAGGGAAGAACAAAUGUGUAAGUAACUAUGCACGUCUUGACGGUACCUAAUCAGAAAGCCACGGCUAACUACGUG